UCCAGCGAGUCCACAAUGACCCUUUGCGAAUGGUCGGUGCUCCACAGGGUCACAGGGCACCGGUCCAUUGUCCUACACUUCACAACAGAUAAACAUUUAUUAAUCAGGACUGACCGGAGGCCCAUGUUUCACAGGGUUGGGAAAAAAAAAGCAAAAGCAGGAGGUGAUAAAAAAUAGGGGGAAGGAGGUAAAAGUGACCAUUGCCUCCAGUUGCAACUUCCACUGUUAGAUCAGUCAGGAGUACAAGCAGGAGAAUCUGUUAGAAAUGCUAAAAUUAUAAUUAAUAGGGUUUAGAUAUUAAAGCAUCUGUCAUUUCUGGAAUCCUUGGUAUCUUGGGGGGAAUGAAAGGACUGCAGAUAUGCACUUUCAAGGAAAAUGCUGACAGAAGAAAUCAGCUCUUCCUCCCUGCAUGUGUUCACUCUGCCUGCAAACGACGUGUCCUGUAAUGUAUUACGGAGCCACUUAUCACUUGAGGCAAGAUGGUGGAGAAGAGCCUGUCCUCAUGUCCCAGCAGUCCACGGGCUGAAGAGCAGAGCUGCUGCAGGAGUAAAUGCAUUGCUAUUUAUCAAAACAGCAGCAUUCGAUGAAUUGCUUUUUAUUGACAGACCCCUGAUUUUUGUCUCCAGAACUACAGUGAAAUCUAAAAUGGAGGCUAAAAAUACGAGGCCAUCUCUCUUGGUUAGGGUUAGAGUGGUGGGAUAUUAAUGCUGCGGAGGCGCGGCGGGGCCUGCCGGACCCCAGAGCCCAACACCAAACUGUUUUUCUUAUGCGGCCCCAGAGUGCAGUGACAGCAGACCCCUGGGGGCCACUCUGCCAUCUGUACAGUGGUGCGGAUCUGCACUGGCUAACUUCCGCUGCACUUCACACUUGUUGAGCGCUCCCUCUCCAUCUGUCCAUCACCGCACCCUCCCGCCCGACUGCCCCUGGCCUUGGCAUGUGUGCCAUGUGUCUGCUGCCAAGGGAAAGAGGGAGAAAGAGGAGAAAAAAGAGCGAGAGAGCGAGAGAGAGACAGGGGAAGAGAGCAGAGGGAAAAAAACAGUAGGCAGACAGUGGAUGACAUUGUGCGCCAACAGGCAGAGGUCACACUCGCUGGGCAGGAAACCAAGCAAUAUUAUCGACUGGACUUUCUGCAGGCCGCUGUCGCUGCCGCUGGGCCGAAACACAAACCUGCAAAAAAAAAUCCCUCCCUGCACGAGCAAAGCGUUCAGUUGACGCAAUAAUAUUGUAUUGCAGCUUCUGCCUGUGCAGAAGCCUGUGCACUGCAUUGAUUUCUGUUGGGUGUACAGUGAGAAUUUGUAGCUUGCAGUAAUGAGAAUGUGACGCUUUGCAAGUGCAAGGGCUGUAAGUGCGUGUGCUGAAAUUAAACUCACUAAAACAUGCCCCUGUCCACUGAUUGUUCUAAUAGUUUAUUGUAAUUUUUUUUUUCAUUUGCCUUAAUACCGUUGCAGUGCACAUGUUACUAUACUACAAUGAAUACAACAAACACAAGCAGUUUACAGCAAAGAGUACAGUACCAGGACUGAUUUUUACAGUUAUGUAAGUGUACUAUGAUAAUGUGUGUCUCUGUGUGUGUAAGUGUGUGUGUGUGUUGAGAUCAAAUGCACAACAGUUCAUUUCUGUGUGAGCAAAUCAUUGAUUUGACGACACAAUGAUAUUGUACCGCAGGUUCUCUCUACUCAUGCACAGCGUUGAUUUUUGUCCUCUGUGCCUCAUGCAUUAGCAGGUUACAUGUGGUGGAAUGAAAGUGAGAAAAUAUGUGUCAAUGUAUGAAUUAACUGCUUAAUUGCUUAAAUUCAUUUUCUGUUGCAUUACAGUACAGUACAGCAUUACAAUAAUUAGUAGUUACAUUGCACAGCAUUCUUUAUUCACUACAGUUUACAGUUGCACAGUACAGUGUACUAUGAGUGUGUGUGUGUGUGUGUGUGUGUGUGUAUGUAUGUUGAGAUCAAUUGUACAACAGUCCAUCUCAGUGUGAGCAAAGCAUUGAUUUUGAUGCAGUGAUAUUUUACAGUAUGUUCUCUGUGCUCAUGCACAGUGCUGAUUUCCAUUCUCUUCGCCUUAUUUUUUUUGUGAUCAAGAAUUUUUAUUUUUUCAUAUAAUAUUUAAACAACAACAAGGGGAGGGGGAGCAGCAGACAGGCAUAAAGAGUGGAUGCGAAAGAGAAAAUUCUCUUCGCCUUAUCCAGUAAUAGCAAGUUAUGGGAAUGACCGUGAGAAAAGAUCUGUACAUGCAUGAGAAAGGAUGAUGAGUUGUGAUUAAACAAGUAUUUUAUUGCAAUCUUUCUGUCUAUUGUAUUACGACACUGUUGCAUUGCACAGCAUUGACCUCUAUUCUUCAUCUAUUAAAACAUGAGUGGCUUACAGUAAUGAGUACAGUAACGGGACAGAUUUUUUACACGCUUAUGCAAGUGUAUUAUGAGCGUGUGUGUGGUGAGAUCAGUUGUACAACAGUCCAUCUCUGUGUCUUUUUUUUGAGCAGUGCUGAUUUCUGUUCUUUAUGUCUUAUGAAUUUAGCAGAUAACUGGAAGGUCAGUUAAUGAGACUGAUCUUUACAACAGUGUAUGUGUGUAGUGAGUACUAUGAAUGUGUGUAUGUGUAUGCUGAGGUCAAAUGUACAACAAUGCAUCCCUGUGUGAGCAAGGCAUUGAUUUUAAUGCAAUGAUGGUAUUGUUCUGCAGGAUCUCUCUGCUCUGCUCUCUGUGUCUUAUGCAUUAGCAUAUUAGCAGGUUACGGAAGUGACAGUAAGACUGAUUUUUACAAAAUGUACACAUUUACUGAGCAUGUGUGAAAAAAUCCCAUCUGAUGCCAUUAAAUAUUGUAUUGCUCCUCGUC